rnacentral:RNase_MRP_RNA from 1 species
AAACUACUAGACGAAGUGAGUGGGUUGAGGCCAAUGCUUGUAACUUGGCCAGACCCAGGAAAGUCCCCGGGCCCUAAACUGCAGAGAUGCAGGCUCGGAAUCGAGCAAAGCUUAAGGCCGUUGGGGUCUGUCCUUACCUAUGGUAAGGCGGGGCAGAGACAAGUGUGGAGCCCUAAUGACCUUAAUGCCGAAGCAACUUGGCCGAUGUUCACAGUUAUUCACUUGGUCCCUAAGCUUGGACUAACUGAACGGGGCUUAUGAUCUAGUAGUA